GGCUGCAGCCAUACCACCAUAAAUGUGCCCGGUCUUAUGUGAUCCUGGAAACUAAACAGAAUUAAGCCUAGUUAAUACUUGGAUGUGAUUCUACUUGUACCAAGUGCUACAGGUU
ensembl:rRNA 5S_rRNA 5S ribosomal RNA